rnacentral:lncRNA from 1 species
ACUAGCGACUCAAACUGGCCCUAGUCCUCUGCCUUAAUUCGCGUCCUCCAGACCUUCCUAUCUAGGGUCAUGUCCUCGGUGAGCUGUAACUGCUCAAUGUCCCGCCUAAUCACCUCACCCCAGUACUUCUUCGGCCUACCCCUACCCCGCCUAAAACCAUCCAACGCUAGCCUCUCACACCUACGAACCGGGGCAUCCAUGCCCCUCCUCUUCACGUGUCCGAACCAUCUCAAUCGAGCUUCCCGCAUCAUGCACUCCACUGGAGUCACACCAACCUUCUCCCGGAUAGUCUCAUUCCGAACUUUAUCCCCUCUAGUCAGCCCACACAUCCAGCGCAACAUCCGCAUA